rnacentral:rRNA from 1 species
CACGUAGGGCGCAAGCGUUGUCCGGAAUUAUUGGGCGUAAAGAGCUCGUAGGCGGUCUGUUGCGUUCGCUGUGAAAACUCGGGGCUUAACCCCGAGCCUGCAGUGGAUACGGGCAGACUAGAGGUAGGUAGGGGAGAAUGGAAUUCCCGGUGUAGCGGUGAAAUGCGCAGAUAUCGGGAGGAACACCGGUGGCGAAGGCGGUUCUCUGGGCCUUACCUGACGCUGAGGAGCGAAAGCGUGGGGAGCGAACAGG